GGAGACGUGGGUGAGUGGCUGAAACCAGUUCCCUGCUAAGGAACCGUGGGGGUAACCCCACCGAGGGUUCGAAUCCCUCCGUCUCCGCCA
rnacentral:tRNA from 1 species